rnacentral:rRNA from 1 species
AACGAACGCUGGCGGCAUGCCUAACACAUGCAAGUCGAACGAGACCUUCGGGUCUAGUGGCGCACGGGUGCGUAACGCGUGGGAACCUGCCCUUAGGUUCGGAAUAACUCCCCGAAAGGGGUGCUAAUACCGGAUAAUGCCUUCGGACCAAAGAUUUAUCGCCUUUGGAUGGGCCCGCGUUGGAUUAGCUAGUUGGUAGGGUAAAAGCCUACCAAGGCGACGAUCCAUAGCUGGUCUGAGAGGAUGAUCAGCCACACUGGGACUGAGACACGGCCCAGACUCCUACGGGAGGCAGCAGUGGGGAAUAUUGGACAAUGGGCGAAAGCCUGAUCCAGCAAUGCCGCGUGAGUGAUGAAGGCCUUAGGGCUGUAAAGCUCUUUUACCCGGGAUGAUAAUGACAGUACCGGGAGAAUAAGCUCCGGCUAACUCCGUG